UAGUAAGGGAACUACCCCUGUUGGUUUUCUAAAGUUAUUAUUUACUUAUUUUCUGUUAUUUUUAAAAAUUACCAAAUCCUAUAGAAAAAAAAAAUAGAGAGUGUCAGCUGAAAAAGACUGCUGACCUUUCCCAGCUUCAUCUCCGGCUCUCCCUGUCCCUCUCCCUCUCCCUCUCCCUCUCUAUUGUUUUGAAUCAUCCUCUCUUCUUGGUUUCACCUCAUAUCGUACUCUUUAACUUAUUCGCGGACACUCUUCAUUCCAAGUACACAAAUUGGGUAAGGGAACGCCAAGGAAGGUUUUAAAGAUUUCUGGGUUUGGCUCAAAUCUUACGUUUUCUGAACUUUUUGAAGUGGAGCGAGAAUGGUGGGUAAAGAGGAUGUAAAUCCUCUGGCUCUGCCUCCACCUUCGCGCCAGCUUCCCUCCGCUACUGGGUCCCGCAAAACGUUCUGGCGUUCUGCAUCCUGGUCCUCUUCCAGGACUGCCCUUCAAAACCCUGAAGCUGAAGAGGGAGACUGUGUUUUAGAUCUGAAUGGUAAUGAUAUUGGUAAUAGUAAUAAUGUGCACAACCGUAGGUACCCUGUUCCUUUAACCCCACGAUCCCAAAAUAAUUGUAAAGCACGGUCAUGCUUACCACCUUUGCAGCCAUUGUCGAUUGCGCGUAGAAGUUUAGAUGAGUGGCCGAAAGCGGGUUCUGAUGAUUUGGGCGAGUGGCCUCAGCCAACCACGCCAAGUGGUAACAAGAGUGGCGAGAGGUUGAAGCUUGAUUUAUCUUCCAUCCAUAGGAACUCGGAUAGAAAUGCUGGGUUACUGAGGAGAGAUAGGAUUGCUUUCUUUGAUAAAGAAUGCUCAAAGGUAGCAGAGCAUGUUUAUCUUGGUGGGGAUGCAGUUGCUAAAGAUAGGGAGAUUUUGAAACAAAAUGGAAUUACUCAUGUGCUGAACUGUGUGGGUUUUGUUUGUCCUGAGUAUUUCAAGACUAACUUUGUGUAUAGGACCCUGUGGUUGCAGGAUAGUCCUUCAGAGGAUAUCACAAGUAUUCUGUACGGUGUUUUUGAUUAUUUUGAGGAUGUUAGGGAACAGGGAGGCAGGGUUUUUGUGCAUUGUUGCCAAGGGGUUUCACGGUCCACUUCAUUGGUGAUCGCAUAUCUUAUGUGGAGAGAGGGUCAGAGUUUUGAUGAUGCCUUUCAAUAUGUCAAGGCAGCGAGAGGGAUUGCUGACCCAAAUAUGGGUUUUGCUUGCCAGUUAUUGCAGUGCCAAAAGAGGGUUCAUGCAAUCCCCCUUAGUCCUAGUUCAUUGUUGAGGAUGUAUAGAAUUGCACCACACUCACCAUAUGAUCCCUUGCAUCUUGUCCCAAGAAUGAUGAAUGAUCCUUCACCGUCUGCUUUGGAUUCUAGAGGUGCCUUUAUUGUUCAUAUUCCUUCGGUGAUAUAUAUCUGGAUUGGUAAAAAUUGUGAUGCCAUUAUGGAAAGGGAUGCUAGAGGGGCUGUAUGCCAGAUUGUUCGUUAUGAGAGAGCUCAAGGGCCAAUUAUAGUGGUUAAAGAAGGGGAAGAACCUGUUUAUUUUUGGGAUGCUUUUUCAAAUUAUCUGCCUUUGAUGGAAAAAUUUAGUAAUGGAGUGGAUUCUGGGAAAUCAGCAAUUAAGAUUUGCCCUGGUGAGAGAAAAGUGGACAUGUAUAAUGUUGAUUUUGAGAUUUUUCAAAAAGCGAUUAAGGGAGGUUUUGUGCCUCCAUUUGCAUCCUCAGAGAAUGAGCUUGAAACCCACAUUCCUGCUAGAGAAAGCAGUUGGAGUAUGCUAAGGCGGAAGUUUGCUCCUAUUGAUAUGAAGGAGUUUGUCUCAGCACCAAAGAUAUUCCUCUCCAGGGUGUAUUCAGAUUCUAUGAUGAUCGUGCACUCCUCAUCACCAUCUUCGUCUUCAUCUUCUUCUACAUCAACUUCUCCUCCUUAUCUCUCCCCUGAUUCCAUUUCUUCUGAUUCUAGUACCAGCUCAAAGUACUUCUCAGAAUCCUCUCUAGAUUCUCCUUCAGCAGCUUCGUGUUCUGUUCUUGUAUCUUCAACAUUGUCCGACUUCUCUAACUUGUCUCUUCUCUCAUCCAAGGCUUCUUCUGAACCACCAUCUAAUGUUCCUGCACUUCAUGAUGUCUAUAGAAUGUCAAAUCAUUUUUCUCAAUUUAUUUCCUCACCAUCUAAAAAAUCUUCCCCUUCACAUACAGAACGAAGAGGUAGCUUAUCUAAGUCUCUGAAGCUGCCACUGAUGACUGGUAAUAUGAGGGUGACUAAGACACCUCCAGGUUCACUUGGCUCUUUGGAAGAUGGUGCUAAGAUAAACAAGAAUUCUUUUUCUUGGUGUAAUUCAAAUAACGUAGAAAUUGUUUUAGAGUCCAAUAAUCAUGCUAAAGGAGACGAAGAUUCAAUGGAAAAAUGCAAGUUGAAUAUAUCUCAAGAUAGAGUAGUUAGUGUUGACUCAUGUGACAGAGAAGCUGCCUCUGUAAAUAACUGUGAUGGACCUGGUAGAUAUUGUCUUUUGGGAGAAGGUGUUGGGUGUCCCAUCUCAAAUGGGAAGGAGGAAAAACUUUCAUCUUCUUGUAACCUAAUGUUGAUAUGCCAUUGGCCCAGUUUGAAAAGAAUUGCAACUUUUGGUACCAGUGACUUGGAUUCUAAAGCUGCUUUUGCAAUUUUAGCUCCAGCUAAAGGUUUAGGCAGAGAGGGUAGUAGGAUCCUAUAUUUUUGGAUAGGAAGGUCUUUUCCUUUUGAUGAGAGCCUAAUUCACUUAGAUUGCAACAAAGUAUUAAUGGAUGGAAAAUUUGUUGACUGCAAUCAAGUUGGUUGUCAUGUUCUAACUCAAAUGGGUCUCCCAAAAGACAUCCCUGUUAAGAUAAUCAAAGAAGGUGAAGAACCGGCUGAAUUUGUUGCAUUGUUCCCUGCAGUGUAGCAAAUCAAGGAUGAAUCUGCAAUCCAAUAGCUUAAUCUUCUUUCAGUUACUUCAGCUGGCCUAAUUUAUAUCACAAGAUUUCAAGAAUUAAAAUAAACUUUCGUGGCAAAAAACCAGUGAGUGUUUGCAGGGUGCUGCUUUCCAUGGUUUUUAUGUGGCAAUUCAUCUGGUUGUACAGUUACUGUAAGAUAGAUUUCAUUACAAACAUGGUCCAAGGUCCCAUAUGAUAGAAAUCAAAGUCCCAUUCAACGAAAUCAAGCCUCUAGGACCAGGAAAGAAAAAAUAAAAUAUCCAAAUUCAGCCUAAAAAUCUAAAGCCCUAUAGACCAAAUAGAAUCUUGACCUAAUUUUGAAUUCGGUGGAGAAGGAGAAUAUGACCUUGUCGAAACGCUGGCCACCAGAAUUUGGAAAUGCCUAAAAAGGUUGAGAAGAAAAUUCCCACCAUCGUAGCCAUGAUUGGCCAUAAAACAUGGAGGAGGUGUACUCUCGUCAUCACAAUCGUGUCUCCCUAGAAAAGCUCCACAAGUCGCUGCCAUGUUGCCCUUUGCUAGACAAGAAAACAAUCAAAGAAUAGGAUACUUGCAUGCAAAUUAAAGGAGCAACACAUGAAAAACACAAAUAUACUCGGCAAAUCUAAAAAAAAAGAAAAAAAAAUCCAAUAUCA